rnacentral:tmRNA from 1 species
AUAUAUGUUUUUUUAAAAAAUUUCCAUUAUAAUAUAGAUGCACUUCGGUGAUAUUAAGAUAAACCUCUAUGUAAUUACUAUUUUGGACUCGGGGGCAGUACCCGACACCUCCACCAUUAAACAUGUGGCAUUUCCUUAAGGGGGUGAUAUAGCUUCGACAGGGUAGGAAAAAUAGAGCUUCUUACGGUAUGAUUCCACCGUUAUCGGGUUACUUUUAUAAAUGCCAAUGAUAACAAUCAGGCAGUAGCUUACGCAGCUUAGUUGUCGGAGGUUUUGCCUCCCACUCUAAACGCUAAGAGCUUAGGGGUUUGGAUAGCACCCGGCAACAGAAGCUAUCCAUU